UCACCCACAGCAACCAUGACUUUGAUCAGCGUCUUCAUCUGCACACUGGCCCUCUGGACUCAAGGAUCCAGAGGUCAGGUGACUGUGACUCAGACUCCUUCAGUGCAAACUGUUGCUCCAGGAAACACCGUCACCAUCAACUGUAGAACCAGCAGCAGAGUGGUUGGUGGUGAUGAACUACACUGGUACCUGCAGAAACCUGGAGAAGCUCCUAAACUCCUGAUCUAUGAAGCUACUAGGUUACAGUCGGGGACUCCAGCUCGUUUCAAAGGCAGUGGAUCUAAUACUGACUUCACUCUGACCAUCAGUGGAGUCCAGACUGAAGAUACAGGAGAUUACUACUGUCAGAGUUACCAUAGUGGUGGAGUGUUCACACAGUGUUAG